UGUUGCUCGCUCUGCCUUCAAGGUUCUCGAAACUUCUGUUUCUUCUUCUUCUUCUAACUAACUAACUAACUUUGAGUUAACAGCUAGUACAGAUACAGAAGCAGCACAAGCUCAUCAAGGCUGGCUCAUCUGUACUGGACCUCGGCUGUGCUCCAGGUGCUUGGCUUCAAGUUGCUUGCCAAAGCCUCGGUCCUCCCAAUCAUGGCGGUUCCGUUCUCGGCAUCGAUCUCAAGGUUUUUCAGUCGACUUGGAAUGGUUCCAGUAAUUGCAUUAGUUGGUUUUGAACUAUUUGACAGAGGGUUCCUUGUGGUUGGGAGCUGCGUCGAAAUUGGAAUUCCCAUGCUAAUACUGUUUAUAGCCUUAUCUCAGGAUGCCAUCUAAUUUAAAGCAGGGUCAGGAUGCUCAUAACACUGGGAUUCAUGUUGGCACCUUGAAAUGAGAGCAGGGAGUGGAUGAAGAAAACUGUCUCAGCAUCAAUGGCAGUGAAACUUAUGC